rnacentral:rRNA from 1 species
UAACGAAUAUUGGGCAAUGGGCGAAAGCCUGACCCAGCGACGCCGCGUGCGGGAGGAAGUCCCUCGGGAUGUAAACCGCUGUCAGGGUGAAGAAAGACCGCAAGGUUUGAUCUAACCCAGAGGAAGCAACGGCUAACUUCGUGCCAGCAGCCGCGGUAAUACGAAGGUUGCAAGCGUUGUUCGGAAUCACUGGGCUUAAAGCGUAUGUAGGCGGAUGAGUAAGCGUUUUGUGAAAUCCCUCGGCUUAACCGAGGAAUUGCUUGGCGAACUGCUCAUCUUGAGGCAAAUAGGGGUGCAUGGAACUCUUGGUGGAGCGGUGGAAUGCGUAGAUAUCAAGAGGAACGCCAGCGGCGAAAGCGGUGCACUGGAUUUGUCCUGACGCUCAGAUACGAAAGCGUGGGGAGCAAACG